rnacentral:rRNA from 1 species
UUGCAACCACCACCUCGGCUUGGGAGAGAUUACCCACUGAACUUAAGCAUAUCAGUAAGUGGAGGACGAGAAACCAAUCGGGAUUCCCCUAGUAGGGGCGACCGAAAAGGGAAAAGCCCAGCGCAGAACCUCCCGGGCCACCCGGCCUGCGGCGGAAUGUUGCGUUAAGGGAAAGAUCGUAGUCAAACCCUACAACCACGCGAACUCUAAGUAAGCCACGAAUCGGCUAUCCCAACUAACGGAGGGAAAUGCUCCAUGGAGGGUGUAAGACCCGUGUGGGCGCGUGUCAAUGUUGUAUGGGCUCGAUCUCUUCCCCGAGAGUCGCGUUGCUUGAGCUUGCAGCGCUAAGCAGGUCGUAAACUCGAUCUAAGGCUAAAUAUGUCCACAGAACCGAUAGCAAACAAGUACCGUGAGGGAAAGUUGAAAAGCACUCUGAAGAGAGAGUUCAAAGACCGUGAAACCGCUCAGAGUAUAAGCCCAAGGCUGCUGGAUGGCCCCGUCAUGUACGUUCGGCGUUGAAUCUCAUCGCUUGUAGUUCGUGUGGCAAAGUUGACAAGUCUAACUAGGGGUUUUGAGCAUUGAGUUGCACCGCCCGACGUUCGGGAGGACCGGGAACGGUGGUAUGUCCAGGGCGGUUUCGGCUGUCCUGGGCUAUCGUCGGUACCACCUCUUAUGAAUGGUUAUUCAAGGAACUUUGCUAAUGUGGCAAGAACGGUUGUGCCCACCACAUUUCGUUGUGAGGUCACCCACAGGCUCAAACUGUUGAUUGCUCGUCCCACUGUGCUACGCGUGCCGUUCGUUAUAUAGCUUCGCCUUUCUAUGGGGUGUUGCUCCGGCACGUUAGUAUCUUUGGGCGAGGCAGCGAAUCGAGUCCUGGUAUGAUCCUCGUGCGACGAUUUGAUUCUGACCGAGUACGCCGUCCCAUUCCACCUCUGCUCAUGUGCCGGGCAGAGGUGGUCGUCGUAAGCUGGCGUCUGCCGUAUGAUCGAAUGCGAGAAUUCUAUUCUGCAAGGUCUCGGUUGCCCGGGACGGCGGCUUGCGUGGUGACAAGUCCAGUACCUUCGGUCACGUCUCGAAACACGGGCCAAGGAGUAUAACAUGUGUGCAAGUCUAAGGGUGUCACGAAACCCGAUGGCGUAAUGAAAGUGAUGGUGUGGCGGGUUAGCUUCGGCAACCUCGUCAGCUAGGGUGUUGAGGUGACGGGUCUUCUGAUUCUCCCUCUCACUCGAGUUCAGCUGAGCUGAUCCUGAUGUAAUGGCAAAGUCUCAAGUCAGGCGCAAGCUCCAGGCUCACGUUCGUGCGCUGGCGAUCGCUUCGUGCGGUCGCUGCGUGGUGAGCACUGUGGAGCAUGCAUGUUAUAACCCGAAAGAUAGUGAACUAUGCCUGGCGAGGGCGAAGCCCCAGGAAACUGGGGUGGAGGCCCGUAGCCGUUGUGACGUGCAAAUCCAUGGUAUCAGUUGGGCAUAGGGGCGAAAGACCAAUCGAACUAUCUAGUAGCUGGUUCCACCCGAAGUUUCUCUCAGGAUAGCUGUUCCGGGCUCUGGUUCCGAACGACCUGUGACAAGGCAUAGAGCUGUAUCUCGCAAUGGAGUUUCGUCUGGUAAAGCGAAUGACUAGAGGCACGCGGGGGUGCAAGGCUUUCGCACUAUUCUCAAACUUUAAAUGGGCGAGAGCCUAGGCAUACAUGCAUGAUGCCGAGGAUGAAAUGUUUAUUGGCUCGUAACGGAACACCCCCCUUGCCACCAGACUCUGGACAUGGAUUGAGAAAGCGAGUACGCUCUAACGGUUCAUAUAUACACAGGUCUAGUACGAAUCAUCCCGCGAUCAGUGGGUCGCUUCUGGUAAGCAGGACUGAUGAUGAGGGAUGAACCUAACGUUGUGCUAAGGUGCCUAAACGAUAGCUAUCUCUUGAUACCAUUGGAAGGGUGUUGCUGGCUGAAGACAGCAGGACGGUGGUCAUGGAAGUUGACAUCCGCUAAGUAGUGUGUAACAACUAAUCCUGCCGAAGCGAGCAACCCUGAAAAUGGAUGGCACUAAAGCUCUCUCCCGAUGCACAACCGUCGGGGCAGUAAAGGCUUCAGAAGGAUUUUUGUCAGACUAUAAGUCUCAAAGCCCCGACGAGUAGGGUGGCGUGCCGGUGUGCGUUGAAGGUCAUGGCGUGAGCCGGGCUGGAGCCGCCGGUAGUGCAGAUCUUGGUGGUAGUAGCAAGUAUUCUGGUGAAGUAACCUGGAACUGUGAAGUCUGGAUCAGGGUUCCAUGUCAACAGUGAUUGAACAUGGGUGAGUCGAACCUAAGCCAACUGUGAAAGCAGUGGCAUCUCGUCAUGAGUGUUUUGAGUGGGGGCAUACGCGUCGAACGCAUUCUAUACGUUGGCCUCCAGCAUGUCUGGAUGGCGGCGUUAGGUGCGGGAGUGUAUGCUCUGCUCUCCUGGUCUAUGAUGUCGUGUGGCCGUGAGGGCGUAUACAAGGGCCACGUAUAUGUUGGCCUCCAGCAUGUCUGG